UGAUCGACGUACCGAGUGCAACCUGGGAAAGACCCAGUCGAACAUCAUAAUUUAUGAGUAUUAAUGGAUCGUCCCCGCUCAAAGAAAACUAAUUCCGCUUUGAAAAUAGCUGCCAUUCGAGGAGAAGUCGACGAUCUCCCCGCGAGGUGCAUCUCUCUGCUGCAACAAGUUGAAGAUCUCAUUAAGGCACAUAACAGCGGUCAGGAAAAAUGCAGACGAAACAGCUUUCACGUUAAGCGAAUGAUAGGCUCGGGCAUUGUCUACUGUGCAACAACAUCAGGGAAACGCCACCCACCUUUUCCUCUUCUGCCUCUGCAAGACCUCCAGCGGCCAAAAAACCGCGGACCUAUCAGGGCAAAGAGACUAGGAUUCAUAGCUUUUUCUGCCUUGGGUUUACACAAGCUAUACUUCUGUCCCUUCACGUGCGCAAAAAAAUUGCCUUGCAGAGUGCUGGACUCGGACACCAGAAAGUGGUCUUUUUCGUUUAAGGGAACUGCACUUGAUGUAAAACCAGAUUGGAAAGCGUGUAGCCAAAAUUGAAAACCGUUGGUGGGUUUAAAUUGCUGAGAAGUGGGUCACCUAGCUCAAUGUUUUCGUUAAUCACCCCAUCCACAUGGGGGAUAUUCAGUAGCAUUCCUGUGCGACGCUGCCGGACUUGGCCAAGCACUGGCCUACAUCAGGCCACUCCAAAAGGAUUUAAACAUGUUAGAGAAUCUAAGUACUUAACAGUGAUAAUGUGUCAAGUGUCAAGUGUCUGGAGUGUGGAGAAGAUGUAGCUUUGACUACCUUUAGACAGCACCAGGCCCAGUGCAAUGUCAGAACGCAGGUAUGUCUUCUGAUGGUGGUAAACUGAAUGAGGAAUAUGAUAUACUGAACACAAUUUCACAAAGUGACAGAAGAUUAAGAUGAAGACAGUGCAGAUUGAACUACAGCCUCUUCAGCCUGGGGAAUGAGGAAAUU